GACGAACGCUGGCGGCGUGCCUAAUACAUGCAAGUGGGACGCAAGGAAACACACUGUGCUUGCACACCGUGUUUUCUUGAGUCGCGAACGGGUGAGUAACGCGUAGGUAACCUGCCUAUUAGCGGGGGAUAACUAUUGGAAACGAUAGCUAAUACCGCAUAAUAUUAAUUAUUGCAUGAUAAUUGAUUGAAAGAUGCAAGCGCAUCACUAGUAGAUGGACCUGCGUUGUAUUAGCUAGUUGGUAAGGUAAGAGCUUACCAAGGCGACGAUACAUAGCCGACCUGAGAGGGUGAUCGGCCACACUGGGACUGAGACACGGCCCAGACUCCUACGGGAGGCAGCAGUAGGGAAUCUUCGGCAAUGGACGAAAGUCUGACCGAGCAACGCCGCGUGAGGGAAGAAGGGUUUCGGAUCGUAAAGCUCUGUUGUAAGUCAAGAACGUGUGUGAGAGUGGAAAGUUCACACAGUGACGGUAGCUUACCAGAAAGGGACGGCUAACUACGUG
rnacentral:rRNA from 1 species